UGGGGAAUAUUGCACAAUGGGCGAAAGCCUGAUGCAGCAACGCCGCGUGAGUGAUGAAGGUCUUCGGAUUGUAAAGCUCUGUCUUUUGGGACGAUAAUGACGGUACCAAAGGAGGAAGCCACGGCUAACUACGUGCCAGCAGCCGCGGUAAUACNUAGGUGGCGAGCGUUGUCCGGAUUUACUGGGCGUAAAGGGUGCGUAGGCGGAUGUUUAAGUGAGAUGUGAAAUACCCGGGCUUAACUUGGGUGCUGCAUUUCAAACUGGAUAUCUAGAGUGCAGGAGAGGAGAAUGGAAUUCCUAGUGUAGCGGUGAAAUGCGUAGAGAUUAGGAAGAACACCAGUGGCGAAGGCGAUUCUCUGGACUGUAACUGACGCUGAGGCACGAAAGCGUGGGUAGCAAACAGGAUUAGAUACCCUGGUAUCCACGCCGUAAACGAUGAGUACUAGGUGUAGGAGGUAUCGACCCCUUCUGUGCCGCAGUAAACACAUUAAGUACUCCGCCUGGGAAGUACGAUCGCAAGAUUAAAC
rnacentral:rRNA from 1 species